rnacentral:tRNA from 1 species
UCCGGGGUAGUACAGAGGUAAGUAUCCCCGCCUGUCACGCGGGUGACCGGGGUUCGAUUCCCCGCCCUGGAGC